rnacentral:rRNA from 1 species
CAGUCGCCGCGGUAAAACAGAGGAUGCAAGCGUUAUCCGGAAUGAUUGGGCGUAAAGCGCGCGUAGGCGGUUUUUUAAGUCUGAUGUGAAAGCCCACGGCUCAACCGUGGAGGGUCAUUGGAAACUGGAAAACUUGAGUGCAGAAGAGGAAAGUGGAAUUCCAUGUGUAGCGGUGAAAUGCGCAGAGAUAUGGAGGAACACCAGUGGCGAAGGCGACUUUCUGGUCUGUAACUGACGCUGAUGUGCGAAAGCGUGGGGAUCAAACAGGAUUAGAUACCCGUGUAGUCCCUGUCUCUUAUAC